UACGUAGGGUGCAAGCGUUGUCCGGAAUUAUUGGGCGUAAAGAGCUCGUAGGCGGUUUGUUGCGUCGGCUGUGAAAUCCCGAGGCUCAACCUCGGGUCUGCAGUCGAUACGAGCAAACUAGAGUGUUGCAGGGGAGACUGGAAUUCCUGGUGUAGCGGUGAAAUGCGCAGAUAUCAGGAAGAACACCAAUGGCGAAAGCAGCUUUCUGGGACGGUACUGACGCUGAGACGCGAAAGCGUGGGGAGCGAACAGG
rnacentral:rRNA from 1 species